CUGUAUCAAGAUUUUUAUCAUAAAAAGUCUGAAAGUAAGUGAUUAUGGAUAUAGAAUCCCAUUAUCUUGAUAAUUGAAUUCAACUUUGAUUGGAACCUGAGGUAUCUCGAAGAUCAUUUCCAUUGAAGACGAUUAUAAUAUCACUAUUAAUAGACGAUUGUUUAUUUACUUUCUGGGUUACUUUGGAAUAGAAAUCAAUUCAAUAGAAUUUAACAACUUCGAAGUGUCACUGUCAUAAUCACUGAUUAACCGCAAAUAUAUUUUCCAGAAAAAAGUUUCGUUCACAUUGUAAUAUCUAUAGUAAGUUAACUGGAGUUCACUAUUCAAGAGUUUUCUGAAAAUUCAUAGUAGUGAAGUCCCCAAAACUAGUUCCUCAAGAAUGUUCUAAUAAAUACUGUGAUAUGCAUAAAAUCACUUCGCUUA